rnacentral:sRNA from 1 species
AUCUACCUAAUGGAAGGAAGACGUGCUGGUUUGAUUGUCACCGAAGAUUUCUUUCUCAUGGUCAUCCAUUACGGAAGAACAAAAACGACUUCCGAAAAGGAAAAGACGCUUCUACCGAGUAUCCACCUGAGUCUUUAACCGGUGAGCAAAUUUAUUACGAGCAGUUGUCUGGUGUAAAUCCACCAAG